AAAAGGAUCACAGAUGCUGCUCGGGGCCAGCCCUAUACUCCCUCCAGUGCCUGGUCUCCGGUGGACCCGCGGGGCUCUGCAGUUCUCUGGCGGCCGCGCCUUGUAAGCGCUAAGCCGGGAGGAGGGCGCAGGCAGGGCGCACAGCUCUGAGCGCGACCCUACCCGGCUCGGGCCCGCAGCAACCCCGACUGUCCGAGAGCCUCUCCCCAAGCAAGGCUCUGCGCCGCCCUCUGAGCCCACCUCCUGGCCACAACGCUGCCUGCGCUUCUCCAGCCCAGGCCGGAAGCCCUAUGCUGCCUCCCGAAGCCGACUCAAGGACUGGGGACUUGGUGGAUCUAUGGCAUUGGUACCCACAGAGGUCACCUGCACAGAUAAAUCUGUCGCCACCCUUCAACCCUGGCCUACCGGAUCUGCGGGGAGAAAUGCAGCAUUUGAAUUGGGGAGUGUUCAGUCCUGCUCUGCGGGGCAUUUAUUUACAAAUAUCAGCUGCAACCCAGCCUUGAUAACGUCUCAUACAGUCAGAGGACUUUGCGGGAAGCACACUUCCUCCUUGUUUGGGGCUACAGGGAAAGCCCAGGAAAGCGAGUCCCAGAAGGCCUGGGACAGCUACACCCAGUUCACCCAUGCUCAACCCGGAACAGCCGACCCAAACGGUCAGGAAGGUUUGUCCUGGGGGCAACGCCUCUUCCGGGCUCUAGGACAUUGGAAGACAGAGAGAUUGCUGGGUAGCGGGUGGUCUGGGCCUCCCCGCAAGCUGCAAACGAAGGAGCUUGGAGCAGACCGCCAGGGAGGGCGCAGGGGAGCGCAGUACUCAGGCGGAGAGGCCCCGAAGCCCUUCAGGGACUCCGAUUACUUUCCUUUGAACAACAACAACAACAACAACAAAAACAACAACAACAACUGCUCCCUCCCCCUUAUAUCCCCUCCCUUUUUUAGCCUCCGGGCACCAGGCUUCCACGUAAUUGUCCUUCUGGACAGUAAACACAGCUCAGUUGCCUCAACUUUCCUGGUGCAUAAAAGUUCCCGGCGUGAGGGGAAAUUUGAAUAUUUGAUCAGCCCCUUUGAGUGACCCUCAUUAGCCUGGCGCCCUGCUAAGGCCCCACCAUUGCAAAAAAGCUGCUGGGCCCGGCAUUUGUACGCCUUGUUAGCGCUGCUUAAUGAAGCCGCCCCGACGGCUCAAAGGCGGCCUCUGGGGCCGGCAGCGCGCACCUCUCGGCACCCCGCUCUGCCUAAUGAGCCCCGCCGCCCGCUAAAGGCCCUUCCACCCCCCACAUCCUCAAACAAGAGGGGUUUGGCUCCGUCUAGGACCUGAACACCUCCCACCACCGGGCCCAGGAGGGUGGGCACAAACCCAGUCUAGCUGGCUACACGGUGAUCUAGCCCCUGGAGAAAGAAGCCAGCUACUUGGAGUAUGCAAGCUAAAAAUGGUUGUGUGAGUGGGAAAGUAGGGAAGUGGAUUUUACAGCCACUAGGUCUAGCUCACCCGUGGGUACCACGAACUUUCCCCCACAGGGCCAGCUGUAAAUCAAUUAACCAGCCCAGCUCCUUAAAGGUGCAUCUGGACUAGUGUUAGAACGUCAGAAGGGCUGGUACACAGGGGAGGGUCAGCUUUCCACUCCCCCCUCAAAUUCCUUUGCUCUGGUCUCCCCAGGAGGCCUGGCACUUCUCCCCAGGUGGCCUCACACUUUCUGGAAGGUCAACCUUCCAGGCAACUAGAACUCUAGGCCUGUAUUUGAGAAAGGAUGGGCAGGUUCAGUUCACACCCCUCGGAGAAUGACUUCCAGUUUCACACAAUCCCAUCCCUGGUCUCUCUUCCAUUGCGUUUAUAGCCAUGGAGAGGUCUGAAGAAGUUAGCCCAGGAAAGACCACGCUCCUUAGGCAAGACUGGGACCCCAAAAAAACCUGGACGAGAGGGGGAAAAUCCUAGGAAAAGGGAGUGGAGACAGCCACCCACUAGGACAAGCAUCUACUCCUUCUCUCCUCUUCUUGGGCCAAGGAACACAGCUAACUAGUUAAUAUAAGAAACCAUUAGAAACUGCACUUCACUCCUCAGGAAGAGUUGACAUCUCUCACUGCCCUCUCGCCUCCAUUGUUCUUUCUCCUGGACAGUUGGAACUCAAGGUCCCCUUUCACUCCCUUCUUGAGUACCCCUAGCACUUGCUGGGUUGGUGGAGCAGGGAACUCUCGGUUCUCCACUCAGGACUUUCUGGAAGCCCAUCUUCGUAUGCUCACCAGCCCACCCUCCUACGCUGGUCAGAGUGAGAUUGCUAACCUCAAGACCCCAUUCAAUGCCAGCUUUCAACUACUGCUGAAGACCAAUGUAGGUCCUGGAAUAGAAGAACUGCAGAGUGGGGCUGCGUAGAGGAUUCGGCAGUUUCUCGGCCACAAGGACGGAGUUUCCUAAGAAGGGAAAGAAGAGUGCGGGCAGAGAGGAGAGGUCCGAGGGGGAAAAGAGAGGCCUGAGGACGCUCUGGCGGCUCCAGUACCAAGCCUUGGUAUCUUUGGGAUUCUGGGGAGAGUGGAAGGGUUUACAAACUACACAUAAAUCGGUGAACUUGAACCACUGUGUAUCCCGAUUUUGCAUUGAGCCGGGCCCUGCGCACCCGGAAUGCUGAAGUGGCCAAGGGCAGAGAGGGGUGUAUUUGCAACUCGUGGUUUCUUCGGUUAAACAAACCCCAACCCGUAGCCUCAGCAACAACAACAAAAACUGCAAGUGCAGGAAGCAAAAUUAAACAUAAUUCCUUUUAUUUAUCUGUUGCAUUUAUAUCAUUAAAAUAUUUUUGGUUACGUUGUAUAGAAUAGCAUCCACUCUGAUUAUUACCUGCCAUAUCGGCUGUAUUCAACACAGCAAAAUUAACAAUUAAGAAAAUAAAGGCACAUCUUAUAUAU
rnacentral:lncRNA from 1 species